AACGAACGCUGGCGGCAUGCCUAACACAUGCAAGUCGAACGAGACCUUCGGGUCUAGUGGCGCACGGGUGCGUAACGCGUGGGAACCUGCCCUUAGGUUCGGAAUAACUCCCCGAAAGGGGUGCUAAUACCGGAUAAUGUCUUCGGACCAAAGAUUUAUCGCCUUUGGAUGGGCCCGCGUUGGAUUAGCUAGUUGGUAGGGUAAAAGCCUACCAAGGCGACGAUCCAUAGCUGGUCUGAGAGGAUGAUCAGCCACACUGGGACUGAGACACGGCCCAGACUCCUACGGGAGGCAGCAGUGGGGAAUAUUGGACAAUGGGCGAAAGCCUGAUCCGGCAAUGCCGCGUGAGUGAUGAAGGCCUUAGGGUUGUAAAGCCCUUUUACCCGGGAUGAUAAUGACAGUACCGGGAGAAUAAGCACCGGCUAACUCCGUG
rnacentral:rRNA from 1 species